UUGACAUACACCAGAUCGGCGCAGAGAUGCGUUUUCCCUUUGUGGUUGGUGGUACAGGUGGUGCAUGGUUGUCGUCAGCUCGUGUCGUGAGAUGUUGGGUUAAGUCCCGCAACGAGCGCAACCCUUGUCUUAUGUUGCCAGCACGUGAUGGUGGGGACUCAUGAGAGACUGCCGGGGUUAACUCGGAGGAAGGUGGGGAUGACGUCAAAUCAUCAUGCCCCUUAUGUCCAGGGCUUCACACAUGCUACAAUGGUCGGUACAACGCGUGUGCGACACUGUGAGGUGAAGCUAAUCGCUCUAAAGCCGGUCGUAGUUCGGAUUGGGGUCUGCAACUCGACCCCAUGAAGUCGGAGUCGCUAGUAAUCGCAGAUCAGCAACGCUGCGGUGAAUACGUUCCCGGGCCUU
rnacentral:rRNA from 1 species